rnacentral:rRNA from 1 species
UCCAAUUGUUUAUCGAUACUGUUGUGCAUUGUUCUCAAUCCAAUUGCAAAACUAAAGUUCCCCACUGUGAUUUUUUGUGUCUACCCCCCCGUGUCAGGAGAGUGGAAAUUUCACGCCCGCGGCCCUCCCUGGAUGUGGUAUCCCUCUCUCACGCGCCCCCUCCCAAAACGAAACCCAAUUCUUCUUUUCCCCUUUCUGCCCUGGGGUUCCCAAACACUACCCUCUAAAACUGAGAGGGGGCAAACUUUUAAAAAACAUAUCUACCUAAAAAUGCGAUAUGACAAGGUUUUAUUACUCCCAAACAGACGGAAACUAUUGGUUUUUAUUCUAAUAAAAACACCCCUUCCAAAUCCAGGAAUUGAUCACGUAUUUACUCUAUAAAUACUACGGUUAUCCAAGUAGUAAAUUUUAUCAAAUAAACAAUAAAUGAGAUAAAGAGCCAUUCUCACUUUCUCAGAAAAAAAUUUUUACUUACACAUGCCUGGCGUGAUCUUUGUUAAGAGCGUAUGACUACAGGGGGGGAGAAACAACAUAUUUUCUUUUAUCUUUUUGGGAGGGGAGGGUGGUGUCGGGACCCCCCCCCAAAAUCCACUUCCACCAACAAAAAAAAAAAAUUUAUUUUGGUUAAAAAGAAACAAAAAAAAA